rnacentral:tRNA from 1 species
UCCAGGAUAGCCUAGUUAACAUGGCACCUGCCCGGUAAGCAGAAGGUUGUGGGUUCGAUUCCCGCUCCUGGAC